rnacentral:tRNA from 1 species
GCCCCUAUAGCUCAGCCUGGUAGAGCACCUGCCUUUUAAGCAGUGGGUCCUAGGUUCGAAUCCUAGUGGGGGCACAA